GGGGAAUUAGCUCAGUUGGUAGAGCGCUCGCUUUGCAUGCGAGAGGUACCGGGAUCGACACCCAGAUUCUCCC
rfam:Octopus bimaculoides Scaffold325581_contig_1, whole genome shotgun sequence.